GACGAACGCUGGCGGCGUGCUUAACACAUGCAAGUCGAACGAUGAAGCCGGAGCUUGCUCUGGUGAAUUAGUGGCGAACGGGUGAGUAACACGUGAGUAACCUGCCCUUGACUCUGGGAUAACUGCGGGAAACUGUAGCUAAUACUGGAUACGACCCUCGGAGGCAUCUCCUGGGGGUGGAAAGAAUUUCGGUCAAGGAUGGACUCGCGGCCUAUCAGCUAGUUGGUGAGGUAAAGGCUCACCAAGGCGACGACGGGUAGCCGGCCUGAGAGGGUGACCGGCCACACUGGGACUGAGACACGGCCCAGACUCCUACGGGAGGCAGCAGUGGGGGAUAUUGCACAAUGGGCGCAAGCCUGAUGCAGCAACGCCGCGUGAGGGAUGACGGCCUUCGGGUUGUAAACCUCUUUUAGCAGGGAAGAAGCGAAAGUGACGGUACCUGCAGAAAAAGCACCGGCUAACUACGUGCCAGCAGCCGCCGUAA
rnacentral:rRNA from 1 species